rnacentral:rRNA from 1 species
GAUGAACGCUGGCGGCGUGCCUAAUACAUGCAAGUCGAGCUAACGGACGAGAAGCUUGCUUCUCUGAUGUUAGCGGCGGACGGGUGAGUAACACGUGGAUAACCUACCUAUAAGACUGGGAUAACUUCGGGAAACCGGAGCUAAUACCGGAUAAUAUUUUGAACCGCAUGGUUCAAAAGUGAGAGACGGUCUUGCUGUCACUUAUAGAUGGAUCCGCGCUGCAUUAGCUAGUUGGUAAGGUAACGGCUUACCAAGGCAACGAUGCAUAGCCGACCUGAGAGGGUGAUCGGCCACACUGGAACUGAGACACGGUCCAGACUCCUACGGGAGGCAGCAGUAGGGAAUCUUCCGCAAUGGGCGGAAGCCUGACGGAGCAACGCCGCGUGAGUGAUGAAGGUCUUCGGAUCGUAAAACUCUGUUAUUAGGGAAGAACAUAUGUGUAAGUAACUGUGCACAUCUUGACGGUACCUAAUCAGAAAGCCACGGCUAACUACGUG